rnacentral:rRNA from 1 species
GCGACCGGCAAACGGGUGCGGAACACGUACGCAACCUUCCUUUAAGCGGUGAAUAGCCCAGGGAAACUUGGAUUAAUACACCAUAAGACAGUGGAGUGGCAUCACUCAGCUGUUAAAGCUCCGGCACUUAAAGAUGGGCGUGCGGCUGAUUAGGUAGUUGGCGGGGUAAUGGCCCACCAAGCCGACAAUCAGUAACUGGUGUGAGAGCACGACCAGUCACACGGGCACUGAGACACGGGCCCGACUCCUACGGGAGGCAGCAGUAAGGAAUAUUGGUCAAUGGACGCAAGUCUGAACCAGCCAUGCCGCGUGGAGGAUGAAGGCCCUCUGGGUUGUAAACUUCUUUUAUCUGGGAAGAAACCGGACUUUUCUAAGGCCGUUGACGGUACCAGAUGAAUAAGCACCGGCUAACUCCGUGCCAGCAGCCGCGGUAAUACGGAGGGUGCAAGCGUUAUCCGGAUUCACUGGGUUUAAAGGGUGCGUAGGUGGGCAGGUAAGUCAGUGGUGAAAUCUCCGGGCUU